ACGCUCGACACCUACGGGAGGCAGCAGUGGGGAAUAUUGCACAAUGGGGGAAACCCUGAUGCAGCAACGCCGCGUGAGCGAAGAAGUAUUUCGGUAUGUAAAGCUCUAUCAGCAGGGAAGAAAGUGACGGUACCUGAGUAAGAAGCCCCGGCUAACUACGUGCCAGCAGCAGCGGUAAUCUGAGCGGGCUGGCAAGGC
rnacentral:rRNA from 1 species